CUAGUACUACCCAAUCAGAAUAAAGCAAAAGACGGAUUGGUAUUAGGCGAGGCGGUAGGAAAGAAUAAUCGGUAGAUAAUCAUUCCAAGUUUUUGUACUAUAUAAUUCAGAAGCACCGUCUUCCACUGAAAAACAUUACCAGUCACAUUAAACCAACAGUUAACCAAGAUGACAUGAUAUAAUUCAUCCAACAGUGAGGAGGCACGACCACUUCAGAGUUGGUUUGUGGUGAGGGAUAUUGGAUCAUAGGUACUGUGUCAAGCUUUGUGAAAAUCAACAUUUAAUUAGUAAAUUACUGCAGUGCUAAUGUGAGAAGUAAAGCACAGCGGAAAGAUGGAGAAAUCGGGUAAGAUAUAAUAUUUUGUUGACAUUUUAUUGUGCUUUCUAACAUGUAGCCAUCUUA